GGAUGUGAGGGCAAUCUGGCUAUGACAUCUGUUACCUCAUUGACCCACACGGUUGAUUUGGCUGAUCUGGCUACCUGGCUGGACACUUCAUGUGUGUCCCUCAGUGGAAGAAGAUGACCACCCCUGAUAGAAGAGGACCAUCCCUCAGUUGAGAGGGUACAAGUAGCUGUACUCCCCUGCUAGAACCUCCAAACAAGCUCUCAAGAUAUGACAUAACCUGAGAUAUUAUAAAAUUACUGAUGUAUAUUAAAAUUUCUAAUAUUU
rnacentral:snRNA from 1 species